GCGGGGUAGCUCAGCUGGUUAGAGCGUACGACUCAUAAUCGUAAGGUCAAGAGUUCGAGUCUCUUCCUCGC
rnacentral:tRNA from 2 species